AUUGAACGCUGGCGGAAUGCUUUACACAUGCAAGUCGAACGAUGAACCUUAGCUUGCUAAGGGGAUUAGUGGCGAACGGGUGAGUAAUAUAUCGGAACGUGCCUUGUAAUGGGGGAUAACUAGUCGAAAGAUUAGCUAAUACCGCAUACUCCCUGAGGGGGAAAGUAGGGGAUCUUCGGACCUUACGUUAUAAGAGCGGCCGAUAUCUGAUUAGCUAGUUGGUGGGGUAAUGGCCUACCAAGGCGACGAUCAGUAGCUGGUCUGAGAGGACGACCAGCCACACUGGAACUGAGACACGGUCCAGACUCCUACGGGAGGCAGCAGUGGGGAAUUUUGGACAAUGGGCGCAAGCCUGAUCCAGCCAUUCCGCGUGAGUGAAGAAGGCCUUCGGGUUGUAAAGCUCUUUCGCAAGGGAAGAAAACUUACCAUCGAAUAAAUGGUGAGGCUGACGGUACCUUGAUAAGAAGCACCGGCUAACUACGUG
rnacentral:rRNA from 1 species